GAACAUUUGCUUCUCCUCUGGGACUCUAGAAUUUUGGUAUGGGCUAGGCAGAGGGUGACCAUAUGACCAGCCUCCAACAUGAAACUCUGGGCAUUGAAUCUCUACUGACCUGCUCAGCGAUCCUCCAUCCUCAAGAAGGCAAAGCUGUAAGAGAAAGGCCACUUGGAUUCCCAAAACGCCAUUUGGAAAAGGGUAGCCCUGGAGAUCAGCUGAUAUUGUGUAAGGAAGA
rnacentral:lncRNA from 1 species